rnacentral:rRNA from 1 species
CAUGUCUUUUGAAAAUAAUUUAAGGUUUAAUCUGCUCAAUGAUAUUAUUAAAUUGCUGCAGUAUAUUGACUGUACAAAGGUAGCAUAAUAAUUAGUUUCUUAAUUAGAAGCUGGAAUGAAUGAUUGGACAAGAAAAUUUCUGUCUCUUUAUUAAUUUUAUUAAAUUUUAUUUUUAAGUGAAAAAGCUUAAAUAAGUUUAAAAGACGAGAAGCCCCUAUAGAGUUUAAUAUUUAAUAAAUAAGAGCUAGAAAGUUUAUUAUUAAUAAAUAUUUAGUUGGGGUGAUUUAAGAAUAUAAAUAAUUUCUUAAUAAAUAAAUUAAUGAUAUUUAAAUGAUGUAUCUGUUGAUAACAAAUAUAAUAUAAAUUACCUUAGGGAUAACAGCGUAAUUUUUUUUGAAAAGUUCUUAUUUUAAAAAAAGUUUGCGACCUCGAUGUUGGAUUAAAAUUAAUAAUUGGUGCAAUAACUGAUUUAUUUAGUCUGUUCGACUAUUAAUAUUUUACAUGAUCUGAGUUUAAACCGGUGUAAACCAGGUUGGAUUCUAUCUUUAGGAUUUAAAAAUAUUUUAGUACGAAAGGACCAAAUAUUUAUUAGAAUAAUUG